rnacentral:rRNA from 1 species
AGAGUUUGAUCCUGGCUCAGGACGAACGCUGGCGGCACGCUUAACACAUGCAAGUCGAACGAGAGAAGAGGAGCUUGCUUUUCUGAUCUAGUGGCGGACGGGUGAGUAACACGUGAGCAAUCUGCCUUUCAGAGGGGGAUACCGAUUGGAAACGAUCGUUAAUACCGCAUAACAUAAUUGAACCGCAUGAUUUGAUUAUCAAAGAUUUAUCGCUGAAAGAUGAGCUCGCGUCUGAUUAGCUAGUUGGUAAGGUAACGGCUUACCAAGGCGACGAUCAGUAGCCGGACUGAGAGGUUGAUCGGCCACAUUGGGACUGAGACACGGCCCAGACUCCUACGGGAGGCAGCAGUGGGGAAUAUUGCACAAUGGAGGAAACUCUGAUGCAGCGAUGCCGCGUGAGGGAAGAAGGUUUUAGGAUUGUAAACCUCUGUCUUCAGGGACGAAAAAAGACGGUACCUGAGGAGGAAGCUCCGGCUAACUACGUGCCAGCAGCCGCGGUAAUACGUAGGGAGCGAGCGUUGUCCGGAAUUACUGGGUGUAAAGGGAGCGUAGGCGGGAUCGCAAGUCAGAUGUGAAAACUAUGGGCUUAACCCAUAAACUGCAUUUGAAACUGUGGUUCUUGAGUGAAGUAGAGGUAAGCGGAAUUCCUAGUGUAGCGGUGAAAUGCGUAGAUAUUAGGAGGAACAUCAGUGGCGAAGGCGGCUUACUGGGCUUUAACUGACGCUGAGGCUCGAAAGCGUGGGGAGCAAACAGGAUUAGAUACCCUGGUAGUCCACGCCGUAAACGAUGAUUACUAGGUGUGGGGGGACUGACCCCUUCCGUGCCGCAGCAAACGCAAUAAGUAAUCCACCUGGGGAGUACGACCGCAAGGUUGAAACUCAAAGGAAUUGACGGGGGCCCGCACAAGCAGUGGAGUAUGUGGAUUAAUUCGAAGCAACGCGAAGAACCUUACCAGGUCUUGACAUCGUAUGCAUAGCUCAGAGAUGAGUGAAAUCUCUUCGGAGACAUAUAGACAGGUGGUGCAUGGUUGUCGUCAGCUCGUGUCGUGAGAUGUUGGGUUAAGUCCCGCAACGAGCGCAACCCUUACUGUUAGUUGCUACGCAAGAGCACUCUAGCAGGACUGCCGUUGACAAAACGGAGGAAGGUGGGGAUGACGUCAAAUCAUCAUGCCCCUUAUGACCUGGGCCUCACACGUACUACAAUGGCUGUCAACAGAGGGAAGCAAAGCCGCGAGGUGGAGCGAACCCCUAAAAGCAGUCUUAGUUCGGAUUGUAGGCUGCAACCCGCCUACAUGAAGUCGGAAUUGCUAGUAAUCGCAGAUCAGCAUGCUGCGGUGAAUACGUUCCCGGGCCUUGUACACACCGCCCGUCACGCCAUGGGAGUCGGUAACACCCGAAGCCUGUAGUCUAACCGCAAGGAGGACGCAGUCGAAGGUGGGAUUGAUGACUGGGGUGAAGUCGGAACAAGGUA